rnacentral:rRNA from 1 species
GAUGAACGCUAGCGACAGGCUUAACACAUGCAAGUCGAGGGGCAGCGGGGGCGAAGCUUGCUUCGCCUGCCGGCGACCGGCGCACGGGUGAGUAACACGUAUGCGACCUGCCCCCCGCAGGGGGAUAACCGGGAGAAAUCCCGACUAAUACCGCGUAACGCCGCGGGGCUGCAUGGCCCCGCGGCCAAAGGAAGCGAUUCCGGCGGGGGAUGGGCAUGCGGCGCAUUAGCUAGUCGGCGGGGUAACGGCCCACCGAGGCGACGAUGCGUAGGGGUUCUGAGAGGAAGGUCCCCCACACUGGUACUGAGACACGGACCAGACUCCUACGGGAGGCAGCAGUGAGGAAUAUUGGUCAAUGGGCGGGAGCCUGAACCAGCCAAGUCGCGUGAGGGAAGACGGUCCUACGGAUUGUAAACCUCUUUUGCCGGGGAGCAACGGGGUCCUUGCGAGGGCCCGAUGAGAGUACCCGGAGAAAAAGCAUCGGCUAACUCCGUGCCAGCAGCCGCGGUAAUACGGAGGAUGCGAGCGUUAUCCGGAUUUAUUGGGUUUAAAGGGUGCGUAGGCGGGCUGUUAAGUCAGCGGUCAAAUGUCGGGGCUCAACCCCGGCCUGCCGUUGAAACUGGCGGCCUCGAGUGGGCGAGAAGUAUGCGGAAUGCGUGGUGUAGCGGUGAAAUGCAUAGAUAUCACGCAGAACUCCGAUUGCGAAGGCAGCAUACCGGCGCCCGACUGACGCUGAGGCACGAAAGCGUGGGUAUCGAACAGGAUUAGAUACCCUGGUAGUCCACGCAGUAAACGAUGAAUGCUAGCUGUCCGGUUCUACGGGACUGGGUGGCACAGCGAAAGCGUUAAGCAUUCCACCUGGGGAGUACGCCGGCAACGGUGAAACUCAAAGGAAUUGACGGGGGCCCGCACAAGCGGAGGAACAUGUGGUUUAAUUCGAUGAUACGCGAGGAACCUUACCCGGGCUCAAACGCCAAAGGACAGCCGUUGAAAGGCGGCCUCCCUCCGGGGUCUUUGGCGAGGUGCUGCAUGGUUGUCGUCAGCUCGUGCCGUGAGGUGUCGGCUUAAGUGCCAUAACGAGCGCAACCCCCAUCGACAGUUGCUAACGGGUAGAGCCGAGGACUCUGUCGAGACUGCCGGCGCAAGCUGCGAGGAAGGCGGGGAUGACGUCAAAUCAGCACGGCCCUUACGUCCGGGGCGACACACGUGUUACAAUGGCCGGUACAGCGGGAUGCCAGGGCGCGAGCCCGAGCGGAACCCGAAAACCGGUCUCAGUUCGGAUUGGAGUCUGCAACCCGACUCCAUGAAGCUGGAUUCGCUAGUAAUCGCGCAUCAGCCACGGCGCGGUGAAUACGUUCCCGGGCCUUGUACACACCGCCCGUCAAGCCAUGGGAGCCGGGGGUGCCUGAAGUGCGUUACCGCGAGGGACGCCCUAGGGUAAAACCGGUGACUGGGGCUAAGUCGUAACAAGGUAGCCGUACCGGAAGGUGCGGCUGGAACACCUCCUUUCUGGAGCAGGCGCGCAAGCCUGCGUCCGGGUGCCGUAACCGGCACGCUGGGAGGGGCUGCCUCAGAAAAACGCAGACAGGGAGCUUCGCUCCGUACACUCUUGCGGUCUAUUGCAUUCGGGGGAUUAGCUCAGCUGGCUAGAGCACCUGCUUUGCAAGCAGGGGGUCAACGGUUCGAAUCCGUUAUUCUCCACUCGAAAAAAGAGUUCAUUGACAUACUGGAAGCCGAGGCGGAUUUACCGCCUCGAAACAAACGAGCAAAUCAAAGAAUCAAGACAGACGAGCCCGCCGGCGGCAUGACAGCCGCCGGGGAAGUUCGACCAAGAUACCCGGUCCGGCUCCACGGAGUCAGACAGGGAAAAGGCAGUCGACUUUCCGCCGGUCGCAAGACACACGGAAAGGAGAAAAGGGCACAUGAAGGAUGCCUUGGCUCUCGGAGGCGAAGAAGGACGUGACAAGCUGCGAUAAGCCGUGCCCAGGGGCAAAUACCCGCCCAAGCACGGAUUUCCGAAUGGGGCAACCCGCCGCGGGCGACCGCGGCACCGCGCCAGGCGCGGGGCCAACCCGGGGAACUGAAACAUCUAAGUACCCGGAGGAAAAGAAAACAACAGUGAUUGCGCAAGUAGUGGCGAGCGAACGCGCAGCAGCCCAAACCGGCCCUGUCACGGCAGGAUCGGGGUUGAAGGACCGUCGACAGCGCGACGAAGCGAGGUUAGCCGAACCGGCUGGAAAGCCGGGCCGCAGCGGGUGACAGCCCCGUAGGCGAAAACCGCGCCAGUCGCCAGACGGCACCUGAGUAGUGCGGGACACGAGAAAUCCUGCACGAAUCCGCGGGGACCAUCCCGCAAGGCUAAAUACUACCGAGAGACCGAUAGCGAACC